rnacentral:lncRNA from 1 species
CACUUUUAGUAAGAGGAGAUAUCAUCCUAUGCAUUCUCUCUCUAGAUGACUCAAGAAGUCUUUGGCCAGAGUAAGAUGAAGAUUAGAUAAGAUUUUUAAUGCUUCAUCAUUGGAGUCAUCAUUGAUUGAUGGAGAAUUAAUAUAAAUAUAUGUUUAAGUGUGACAUGUUUCCAUACUCAUGAACAUAUUCGGGAUGCGGG